rnacentral:rRNA from 1 species
UCGGGGACGAAAUUAUUGACGGUACCCGAUGAAUAAGGGGCUCCUAACUCUGUGCCAGCAGGAGCGGUAAUACAGAGGCCCCAAGCAUUAUCCGGAAUCACUGGGCGUAAAGGGUGUCGAGGCGGUCGUAUUAGUCGUUCGUAAAAUCCGUGAGCUUAACUUACGGUCCGCGAGCGAAACGGUACGACUUGAGGUUUGGAGAGGUGCGUGGAACUCACGGUGUAGGGGUGAAAUCCGUUGAUAUCGU